rnacentral:hammerhead_ribozyme from 1 species
AUCCAGCUGGCGAGUCCCAAAUGAAACCAAAUGCGCAUCCUGGAU